rnacentral:lncRNA from 1 species
ACAUAACCGCGGGCACGGCUCUCGAAAGUUUAUAACCCUGUAGGGGUGUCCCAACUUAGCCCAUGACAAGCUCUCGCGAUCAACGAAGGAAUAGACCUUCACCCGAGACACUUCGAUCAGACUCGGUAUCCCGGUACAUCAAGACAUUUCGACAAUGGUAAAACAAGACCAGCAAAGCCGCCCGAAUGUGCCGACAAAUCCUGAUAGGAGCUGCACAUAUCUCGUUCUUAGGGCACAUCGGAUUGUCCAAACUUCCGGUAGGCCAGCCCAGAGUUGCCCCUGAUGGNNNNNNNNNNNNNNNNNNNNNNNNNNNNNNNNNNNNNNNNNNNNNNNNNNNNNNNNNNNNNNNNNNNNNNNNNNNNNNNNNNNNNNNNNNNNNNNNNNNNNNNNNNNNNNNNNNNNNNNNNNNNNNNNNNNNNNNNNNNNNNNNNNNNNNNNNNNNNNNNNNNNNNNNNNNNNNNNNNNNNNNNNNNNNNNNNNNNNNNNNNNNNNNNNNNNNNNNNNNNNNNNNNNNNNNNNNNNNNNNNNNNNNNNNNNNNNNNNNNNNNNNNNNNNNNNNNNNNNNNNNNNNNNNNNNNNNNNNNNNNNNNNNNNNNNNNNNNNNNNNNNNNNNNNNGCUAGGUGAGGCAAAUGGUAAAACCAAGGUUGGGCCUUGCUGGACAAGUUUUAUUCAAAGCGAACUGUCAGGGGGUCCCAUAAAUCACCCGACCGUGUAAGGAACGCAAAAUCCGGGAACAUAACACCGGUAUGACGGAAACUAGGGCGGCAAGAGUGGAACAAAACACCAGGCAUAAGGUCGAGCCUUCCACCCUUUACCAAAUAUAUAGAUGCAUUAAUAAUAUAAGAGAUAUUGUGAUAUCCCAACAAAACCCUGUCCACCAUGGAGCAAUCUUCAACUUCACCUGCAGCUAGCAACGCUAUAAGAGGGGUUGAGCAAAGCGGUAACAUAGCCAAUCAAUGGUUUGCUGGGAAUGGUGUCAAAUGUUGGAGGGUCAUGGCAAUUUGGGAGGCUGACAAGCAAAUGGUAGGCAUCGUAGCAUUGGCAUAGCAAAAGAGCGAGCAAACUAGCAUAGCAAAGAUAGUAGUGAUUUCGAGGGUAUGGUCAUCUUGCCUGAAAUCCCGCAAGGAAGAAGAACGAGUCCAUGAAGAAGACCAACGGGCGAAGAUGAACGAAUCCUCACAACUCCGGAACGAAACCGAAGCUAACGAGAGAAGCAACCCGGAAAGAAACAAACGACAUAGUAAACAACCAUCACAUAAACAUGGCAUGAUGCGCAAACAAGUAUGAUGCAUGCCCGGUUUAAAUAGCAUGGCAUGGCGAUAUGCACAAACAAAACUACAAGUUAAAUGGAGCCCAAUAUGCAACGAGUUGCAUAUUGACGAAACACCACAUCAAUUAUUUAGUUCUCUCUCGGUUAUGCUACCCAACAAUAUUAAUUGUUGUUAAACAUGGCAAGAGGUGAAGCAUAAUAUAAACUACCUAUCCAGGCAAGUUUAAAUGAGGCCGGAAACAACAAACGAUAAUUCCGGAAAAUCCUCAUGUCAUUUAGCAAUUUAAUGCAACAACAAGUUUAAAACAUUUUAAUUGUUGUUAUCAUGAUGCGGAUGACAUAUGCAAGUUUUAUGCAAUUUUAUGAAAAUGUUGACAUGAGCAUGUUACGAAGCAUUUGUCGCCAUGGCGGAACGAAAAGGGUGCCACGGCGGUGAAACAAAAAUGGUGCCACGGCAACAUAUCCGAAAAUGAUGCCACGGCAACAUAUCGGUUCCGGUAGCUCACGGAGAUACCGGUGCAAAAGGGAGCGUGCGGAUGUGCGCAACAUGCUGGAGAUGGUGGGGUGCUCCCGACUACCGGGUUCCCACGGGUUAGUGGCAUGGAAACGAGUGACAAUUCGGACACGGUGCAAACGUAGGGUGCAUCUCAUACAACACAUGCAUUCGGUCCACGGACGGCGUCUCGGGGUUAUACCUUUGAAGCGUGCUUUUUCGGAGCGGGUCGAGUUUGUAGGGGAAGUAGUCGUUCACGCGAUGUAGUGGAAGUAGUGGUUCGCGUGGCGGCGGUAGUAGAAGUAGUGGUUCAUGUUUCGUAGAUGUUCGGGGUCACGAAGAGGAACUUGACGUCCACGGAGUCUUCGAGGGUCGACAGUAGUGGUACACACGUUGCCGGGGUACUUGUCGGUCCGGUCUUGGCGACGGUAGUUGUACACGAGUUGUAGUCGAACUUGAUGGAGAAAACGUCCUCGAGGGUAGUCGUGGUACUUGGGGUCUUCGGACUUGCCGGUCUCGGUUCUUGCGACGGUAGUGGUACAUGGCAACGGUAGUCGAACUUGGUGGUCUUGGCGUUUCAGGUCUCGCAGUGUAGUCGAACUUGGUGGCCUUGACGAACCGAAGUGGUAGUAGGCGAGAUACACGAUCACGCUAGUCCCCGGAGAUGGAGUUUCGUGUCCAAAACUUGACGGGUGCAGGAGAUCUCGGGGAGGAAGGGGCUCGGUUCAUGCAAAGGUUGCGGAGGGGCUGGCCAUGGCGUCGGGCAGGCCUUCCCGAGGUGGUGCAGGUGGCCCAUGGAGAGGUGCAGCAGUACAGAGCUCGACGGAGCAAGGUGGACGCCAUGGGGAGAGGCGGCACUGGAGGUGGCCAGAGGAAGCGAGGAGGAGGCGGACUUGACACGAGCUCCCGGCGAUGGGGCAUGAUGUAGGGGAGGCAGAUGAGGUCCCGGACGGCAGCCUGGGGGUGGAUCCGGGCGGCGGCUGCGCCGAGCUUGAAGAUGACGACGGCUGCGACACGGGGCAGCACUGGAGGAUGGCCGGAGCCGGGCGUGGCGGAGCUCCUGGUGGUGGUGGUCGACGCCGGCGGGCGUACUUGCUGGAAGGAGGCGCGAUGGAGGAGAGUCGACGAGGCGGCGCUCGCCGGAGUCGGGGCCGAAGGGAACGGGUCGAGGGGCUCCUCCCCUGGCGACGAAGCUAACGAGGUGAUGGCACCGGGUAGACGAGGAGGCAGGCGAGGAGGUCCUGGCCCGGUGGCGAGCUUGAGGCGAUCGGGCGCGGGCGCUCCUCUCGUGUGCGAUGCGUGUGUGUGGCGGCGGUGGUGGGAGGAUGAGAGGGAGCGAGUGAGAGGAGGGAAUCGGUCUCCUGGCGGCUAGGGUUAGAGGGGUCGGCUGGGCCUUGGGCCGCAGCUACAGGAGACCCAAAUGGUCGGCUGGGCUGGGCUGGGCUGGAAUCUCUCUCUCCCUCACACACAUGACAAAAGAGAGAAAAAAAGAAAGAAAGAAAAGGAAGGAAAGAAAAAGGUUAGAGAAGGGACUUGGGCAUGGGGAUUAUUUUCCCGGACUCAUAAAAAUGAGCUCGAUCCAGGAAAAAUAGAAAGAGGCAUGAUUGAAAGAUUUAAAUUCAAACUCAUUUGGAUUUAAUUCAAAUGGGUUUGAACUAGGACUUGAUAAAAGGAAGGUCCAAAAAUGUUCGGAUUUUUGGUGGAGCUCCGGAAAAUGAUGAAAGAAAUUAUGGGCAAGGUUGGAGACCAAGAAUUAAGAUAACAAAGGCAUGGGAUAUUUUGCAGUGUGUUAUGGUGAUCUCCAAAAAAUGAAAUAUUUAUUAUAGCUCCCUAAAUAUCGAGAGGAUAUGUUUUAAAUAGAAUCACCAUGUGAAUUCCCUCGAUUUAAAUGGAUCAAAGAUCCAUGCCAUUUAUUUAGUUGAGUUGCAAAAGAUUAAUGACAUGAUGGCAUGAUGACAUGAUGCAAUGCAAAAAAAAAACAAAUCACACGACAAAACUCGGAAUAUCUGGAAGUCUUCUGGAGCAUCGGUCUCGGGGCGUCACAACACUCCACCACUACAAGAGGAUCUCGUCCCGAGAUCUAGAAUGGCACCAGAGGGAAAACGGAAGAGAAAAAGAAAGGUAAAACUAAGUUGCUUCUUUGACAACCGAGUGAAACCAAAGAACCUUGAGAGGUUGAACAAAAUGAAAGAAAGAAAACAACUAAGAUGAACAAAGUUGAAAACACUCUGUUAGAAAAGAGGAACAUGGGAUACGACGAGAACCAAGAGGUUUAGUGAUAAGAUAGGUAUUGAAACCACUCCGGCUAAAACAAGAUAGAGUAGGAAUAAGAAUGAUAUAAUUUGGGCAGCACACCGACUGAAAAUGGAAGGAAUUAGAAUCAUGAACUUGAGAAGAUAAGAGGAUACUUGAUGAAAUGAACAACACACUGCCUCCGGAACUAUUGAAAGAAUGGCACAAGGGGUAAGAAAGAUUUCAGAUAGCACUAAGGUUGAAAAGAGAGGCAAAACUUGAUAAGAUGAAAGAACUUGAAGAGAUGACAUAACACUUCGGUUAAAUGGAUAAGCAUGAAAAGAACACGAUCCUGACAAAACAAGAUGAUUGUUGAAGAGCACAACAUCACAAUGACUCCGGAACGAAAGAAUAGAAGCUAGACCGUUGGGAUAAAGGGACGGAGAAGAAAAUGACAACUUCUACCACAAUUGAAUUGGAAGGCAUCCUUGCAAGAAGGUUAGAAUAGAGUUGUUGGAAGACCAACAACGAAAAGAAUAAGUUUGUAGUGGGCUUAUGGAAACAUCUCAACAUUAUGAGGUGAACACCCGGCCACUAACGGAAACAAUUGCUUGCUUGAGAUUAACGAAGAGAUGAAAGCUUGUUCCAUCAAGAUGGAAAAGAGAUAACUUGGAUCAUUGACAAGCACCACAAAUAGCAACAUUCACAAUGGAAGGCUUUAGGUGAAAUCUAUACCAAGAUAACUCCAAAGAAGAGAUUGAUGGAUUUAAAUAUCUCAUUCUUGACAACAUGAAUAACCAAGGGAAAUUGUCAAGAGUGACAUAACACCAUCUCAAAAGAUAAGGUAGAAAAAAUUGCACUUUGGAAUGCAUGAUAAAGAAUGCUUGAACUACUCAAAACAAAACAUGCGUUUAGCACCAUGUUUAUUUUGAAGUAUGGCUUGACGGAUCUUAACUUCGAGAGAAAUCUUGAUGAACAAUUGAAGAAUGAAAAGAAUCCUUGACGAAGCACCAUGUAGAGCCUCCAAGAAGAACUCCGGUAAACAAAAGGGUGAUAGAAAGAAAGAGAAGUUGAAAACACAAGGUGAAGCCUUGCAAUGAUUUAGAUGGAGCUUCGCGAUUAUAUAACCGAGAGAACUUGGAACUCCAAAAAAAAAGGAUGAGCAAUUGAAACCAAGAAUUUUUUGAUGAACCUUCGGAAUAAGGAAUUGAAUUUACUCUAUUAAACAAGAAUAAGAAUUACAUUAUGCUUAUCCCUCAUCAAUUAAAUUGAUGACAAGCAAUGGAUUUGGCAUACUACUUAUUCUCGUAGAAAGGAUUAAGAGAGAUAUAGCACAAACUUGAGAAGGUAUUGAUGGAACCACCGGUGGGAUUUGGAAACAACAAGUGAAUUGAUAUGAUAACGAAGGAAGUGAAAUCUUGAACGAACCACCGUAAGAAUUGAAAAUGAACAUAGCAAAGGCACAAUUCACCGGGAAGAAUUGGAAAACGAAUGAAGAUAUUUGAGGGGAUUUCGAUACAUGAGAACGAAGAGAACAUGAACUGAUUAGAGGAUAUUUGAACAAAUCACCGGUAAGAUUUGGAGAACGAUAGCUACCCGCUGAGAAUGAAGAAUUAUGACAUGAUGGCCUUCGGAGGAAAGAAAUGGAAACAACUCAUGAAAUGCUCCGGAUGGUAAGAAAAGAAUUUUCACAAUCGAAAACAAUUAUGAGAGGAUGGCAUCAAGCUAGAACCAUGAAUCUUGAAGAGAAUAGAGCAAGAUUAAAGAGAAACUCUUUUUCGGUCUUCAAAUGAUGAGAAUGACAACGAGAAACACCACCAAGAAUUAUUGAGGCACAUCGGAAGAAUAAAAAACGAAGAGGUUGAGCCAACUAUGAAAAGAAUUUGAAAGAUCUUGGAGAAAAGCAUUUGACUGAUGAUAACUCAUUCUUACAUCAAACUUGGAGAAGAAUUUAGGAUAGUUCUGGGAAAAUAGAAGAGUCAGGUAAGAUCCUGGGAAAAGACCUGUGGGUUAGGGCCCACUCAAAAGAAAACACCGUUGAAAAGAUUUAAAAGAGAUGUUGCACCGGUUGAAUUAAAUGACUUGAAUGAGAUACCAAUCUCGAAAGAGCUUGAACGAAUGUAGAGUGGAAACACGAAUCUUCGAGAUAUCUUGAGCACUCCGGAAUAACAAAUAGCGAGAAGUAGAAUGAUAAUGAGGUGCACCGGUAUGAGAAGACAUUGAAAUGAGGAAAAAGGUAUGAUCAACAAAACUUGACUUGAAUCCACCGGAGAAGAGAAAAGAAUGAGGAAUGACGAACUAGUAGAACAUCUUCUUGAGAACCACCGGGUAAGAACAUUGACAGAAAAGAAUGGAGAAACUUCACAAAAAUAAAAGGAUACUUGGUAAAGAAAUCUUAGUCCUUGAGGAAAAAGGGUGGGUGGGCGGGAAAAAAAACAAAGGCAACUUGGAGACGGAUGAAACAAACACCGUUGAGAAGAAAUGAUAAUUGGUGUUGCUGAUGUUGAAGUGAUCGGAUCCACUUGAAGAGAAACACGCCGGUUGAAAAGGAUUGACAUGACAAUCUCGAUUGUCGAGAAGGAUUGGUAUUCACAUCAGAGUAUGAGAACACCAUUUCGGAAAGGUAUGGAAUCAACACUUGACAUUGAAGCAACUCGAAUACCACAACUCAAAACAAAAACAAAGGAAUGGCUUGCAGAAUAAGCCGGAACAAACAUAUGAUAGAGAUUUCGUCCGAAGUUUUCAUGGUGGGGCCUACACGGGCUCAAUCGUACAACACCAUCAUGUACAAGGCAGUGCACAUGACAUACGAAGCGUCCCCGAGUCGGCAUAGCCAAGGACUCUUUAAGACACAACGAGACCACUGUAAAACCAACCGUGAAUAGGCGGACCACUAGACGUCGAACCCCAAUUUCAUAUCAUACAUCCGUCGGAAAGAUAUCCUAAGAGCUACUUGAAUUCCCACCUAUGAAACUCCCGAAACUUUCCGGUUAUGCAAUCAGGUGUUGGGGAUACAGGGGAAGCAUAAUAUCUCACCCAAAACUAGCAAAUCCUACAUCCAGCUGUAUCCAUCCUUCAACACAUAACCAAGAAACCUUCGGAAAUCGUGUACCUCAACCUUCGAAAAGCAUCCGUUAUACGAGUCAUGGCAAUACUCCCGUACUCACCUCAGUACUGGGUUAUCGGGGUUAUCUCACCAACAACUGCAUAAAAGAGAUUUUCGAUGUCGGCGUACUAAACUCAGGUAUUCCAGAACUGCAACGAUAAAAUUAUGACGACAACACCUCAGAGCUCAACUCCCCGGGACACUUCCACUAAACCCCUGACAGGAGGCACCAAGACAAUGUUCUCAUCAUAAAACCAUCGGAACGAUUCCAAGAUACCCGCAUGAUCCUAAAUUUUUUUAGUGAAAUUUGAGGAGAGGAAAGUCAAAACUUCUACGUCAGGAUGCCUUACCAGAGCGAUGAAGAGAUUGGGGAUUAAAAAGAAUUCCUAACUCUCCGAUAUAUAUAAUCCUAAAUGACUCAAAACAUUUUUCUAGACACAACUCGGCCGCUAAAAACGAUCAAACAGUGGGGCUCCUAAGGUCGGGGAAGGCUCUGAUUACCAACUUGUAACGCCCUCAAUGCGGCUAUAUCUCCCACGUGUCGAAGCAUGACUUAGAGGCAUAACCGCAUUGAAAGCAAUGUCGCAAGUGAGGUAAUCUUCACACAACCCAUGUAAUACAUAAGGGAAAGAGAUACAUAGUUGGCUUACAAUCGCCACUUCACACAAUUACAUGAAUAAAGCAUUACAUCAUCCAGAUACAAUCAAGGUCCGACUACGGAACCAAAAUAAAAGAAGAACCCCAAAUGCGACAAAGGUCCCCGAUCGACCCCAACUGGGCUCCACUACUGAUCAACUAAAACGAAACAACACAAAGGGCAAGAUCUUCAUCGAGCUCCUCCUUGAGCUUGGUUGCAUCGCCUGCUCGGUAACAUAGGCACCUGCAAACUGGUUUUGGAAGUAUCUGGUGAGCCACGGGGACUCAGCAAUCUCACACCCGCGAGAUCAAGACUAUUUAAGCUUAUGGGUAAGGUAAAGGCAUGAGGUGGAACUGCAGCAAGCGACUAGCACAUAUGGUGGCUAACAUACGCAAAUGAGAGCGAGAAGAGAAGGCAAAGCACGGUCGAUAAAAGUAUGAUCAAGAAGUGAUCCUAUAGCAACCUACGUCAAGCAUAACUCCAACACCGUGUUCACUUCCCGGACUCCGCCGGAAAGAGACCAUCAUGGUUACACACGCGGUUGAUGUAUUUUAAUUAAGGUCAACUUCGGGUUUUCUACAACCGGACAUUAACAAAUUCCCAUCUGCCACAUAACCGCGGGCACGGCUCUCGAAAGUUUAUAACCCUGCAGGGGUGUCCCAACUUAGCCCAUGACAAGCUCUCACGAUCAACGAAGGAAUAGACCUUCACCCGAGACACUCCGAUCAGACUCGGUAUCCCGGUACAUCAAGACAUUUCGACAAUGGUAAAACAAGACCAGCAAAGCCGCCCGAAUGUGCCGACAAAUCCUGAUAGGAGCUACACAUAUCUCGUUCUCAGGGCACACCGGAUUGUCCAAACUUCCGGUAGGCCAGCCCAGAGUUGCCCCUGGUGGCCACCGGCGGUUGACGGUUUGGACCAACACUCACAACGAGCACUGGCCCGGGGGGUAAAU